GAUGAACGCUGGCGGCGUGCCUAAUACAUGCAAGUCGAACGCUGAAGGAGGAGCUUGCUCUUCUGGAUGAGUUGCGAACGGGUGAGUAACGCGUAGGUAACCUGCCUGGUAGCGGGGGAUAACUAUUGGAAACGAUAGCUAAUACCGCAUGACAACAGUUAUUGCAUGAUAACUGUUUAAAAGGGGCAACUGCUCCACUACCAGAUGGACCUGCGUUGUAUUAGCUAGUUGGUGAGGUAACGGCUCACCAAGGCGACGAUACAUAGCCGACCUGAGAGGGUGAUCGGCCACACUGGGACUGAGACACGGCCCAGACUCCUACGGGAGGCAGCAGUAGGGAAUCUUCGGCAAUGGACGGAAGUCUGACCGAGCAACGCCGCGUGAGUGAAGAAGGUUUUCGGAUCGUAAAGCUCUGUUGCAAGAGAAGAACGAGUGUGAGAGUGGAAAGUUCACACUGUGACGGUAGCUUACCAGAAAGGGACGGCUAACUACGUG
rnacentral:rRNA from 1 species